rnacentral:rRNA from 1 species
CCUACGGGAGGCAGCAGUGGGGAAUAUUGGACAAUGGGCGAAAGCCUGAUCCAGCAAUGUCGCGUGAAUGAUGAAGGCCUUAGGGUUGUAAAGUUCUUUCGGUGGGGAAGAUAAUGACGGUACCCACAUAAGAAGCUCCGGCUAACUCCGUGCCAGCAGCCGCGGUAAUACGGAGGGAGCUAGCGUUGUUCGGAAUUACUGGGCGUAAAGAGCGCGUAGGCGGCUAACUAAGUUGGGAGUGAAAUCCCAGGGCUUAACCCUGGAAUGGCUUUCAAAACUGGUUAGCUAGAGGACGAUAGAGGAUGGUGGAAUUCCUAGUGUAGAGGUGAAAUUCUUAGAUAUUAGGAGGAACAUCGGAGGCGAAGGCGACCAUCUGGGUCGUAUCUGACGCUGAGGCGCGAAAGCGUGGGGAGCAAACAGGAUUAGAUACCCUGGUAGUCCACGCUGUAAACGAUGAGUGCUUGAUAUCGGAACUUGUUUUCGGUGUCGGAGCUAACGCGUUAAGCACUCCGCCUGGGGAUAAGGUCGCAAGNUUAAAACUCAAAUGAAUUGACGGCUGNGANGCGAGCGACACGAGGAGAG